UGAAGUGUUAUGAGGAGUGAACGGUUCGCCUAGUAACGAAGUACAUGACCCUACGCUUCCAAGAAAAGCUUCUAACUUAAUAACUAGUAGCCUGUACCUAUAACGAACACACGUGGUCAAGGAGAAAAUCCUAAGGUAAGCGAGAUAACUGUAGCUAAGGAACUCUGCAAAAUAACUCCGUAACUUCGGAAGAAGGAGUGCUCAACUAUGUUGAGCCGCAGUGAAGAGGGAGGGGCAACUGUUUAGCAAAAACACAGCUCUCUGCUAAGUCGUAAGACGAAGUAUAGGGGGUGACGCCUGCCCAGUGCCGGAAGGUUAAGAGGAGAAGUCAGCGCAAGCGAAGCUUCGAAUUGAAGCCCCGGUGAACGGCGGCCGUAACUAUAACGGUCCUAAGGUAGCGAAAUUCCUUGUCAGGUAAGUUCUGACCCGCACGAAAGGCGUAAUGAUCCCUUCGCUGUCUCGGCUGCAGACUCGGUGAAAUUUUAGUACCGGUGAAGAUGCCGGUUACCCGCAACUAGACGGAAAGACCCCGUGGAGCUUUACUAUAACUUGAUAUUGAAAUUUGGUAUAACGUGUAGAGGAUAGGUGGGAGACUUUGAAGCUGGACCGCUAGGGCCAGUGGAGUCAACCUUGGAAUACCACCCUCGUUAUAUUGGAUUUCUAACUUCGACCCGUUAUCCGGGUUAAGGACAGUGUCUGGUGGGUAGUUUGACUGGGGCGGUCGCCUCCUAAAAUGUAACGGAGGCGCUCAAAGUUACACUCAGCAUGGUUGGAAAUCAUGCAUAGAGCGCAAAAGUAUAAGUGUGAUUGACUGUGAGACUUACAAGUCGAACAGGUACGAAAGUAGGAUUUAGUGAUCCGGCGGUCCCGAGUGGAAGGGCCGUCGCUCAACGGAUAAAAGUUACCCCGGGGAUAACAGGCUGAUCUCCCCCAAGAGUUCACAUCGACGGGGAGGUUUGGCACCUCGAUGUCGGCUCAUCGCAUCCUGGAGCUGUAGUCGGUUCCAAGGGUUGGGCUGUUCGCCCAUUAAAGCGGUACGCGAGCUGGGUUCAGAACGUCGUGAGACAGUUUGGUCCCUAUCUGUUGUGGGCGUAGGAAAAUUGAAGAGAGCUGUUCCUAGUACGAGAGGACCGGAAUGGACACACCUCUGGUGCUCCUGUUGUCACGCCAGUGGCACAGCAGGGUAGCUAUGUGUGGAACGGAUAAUCGCUGAAGGCAUCUAAGCGAGAAGCCUCCUUUAAGAUGAAUUUUCCCAUUUCUUUAGAAUGUAAGAUCCCUUAUAGACUAUGAGGUUGAUAGGAUGGAUGUGUAAGUGUCGCGAGGCAUUAAGCUAACCAUUACUAAUAGAUCGAGAGAAUUUUAGAA
rnacentral:rRNA from 1 species